UAUCGGGGAGCUCACAACCGCUUAAGCGGUCCAUGGGCUGAGAGGAAGGUGGAACCUUCGACCCGCUGACCUGAUUUGGGUAAUGCCAACGUAGGGAGAGGAUUG
rnacentral:ncRNA from 1 species